rnacentral:rRNA from 1 species
AUGAUCUCUGUUGAUAGGGCCCUUCUUGACUUAGGGCGCCUCGCUUUCCGUCGGCCAUUUGGGCCGGCGGAAUCCGCUGCCUGGCGUGAGUUGCUUGACUGCGUUGCUCUGCAUGAGCCGGUGGUGGAUGGGGAUCAGGAUCUUGUGCGCUGGCACCUGGAGCCGUCGGGCCAGUUCUCUACCAAAUCGCUAUACUUGGCCAUUGCCCCCUCCUCCGCUCCCCUCCCCCUAUCGAUGGUGUGGUCCGUCCGCGUCCCCCUGAAGAUUCGCAUCUUCAUGUGGCAGUGGAUCCGUGGACGGAUCCCGUCCGGUGUGGAGGUCCGCAAGCGUAAUGGCCCGGGCACUGGUAUCUGCCCCCUCUGUGUUGUUCCCGAGGACUCCAACCACAUCUUCUUCGCCUGCAUCUCCGCCCGGCUCCUCUGGAGCUGCUUUCGCGAGAUUGUCGGUGGGAGUUGGUGCCACACCAAUUUCCCGGACUUAUUUGCUGAACUCCAAUUGUCCCCUUCGUCCUCUCGCCACAUUAGGUGGCUCGAGGUUGGGGUCCUUGCCUGGACGCUUUGGACCGUUCACAAUAAGCUAGUGAUCCAGCGUACUCCUCUUCGUCGCGCUACUGAUGCUCUCUACAAAUUCUCGAGUUUCUUGCAGCUUUGGCGGCCGCUUAGCCGCCCCCUGGAUCGGGACGCCAUCUCUGCCUUCAUCGCCGAUCUCCGCUCGAUGGCCGUCCGCCUGUCGCCCCCGCCGCCGCCGCCUCCGCCGGAGCCUGACUAG